rnacentral:rRNA from 1 species
GUCUAUGGCCACACCACCCUGAACGCGCCCGAUCUCGUCUGAUCUCGGAAGCUAAGCAGGGUCGGGCCUGGUUAGUACUUGGAUGAAGAAUGAGGAUAUGUAACACAGGUGUAAAGCCC